rnacentral:rRNA from 1 species
CACAAGCGGUGGAUGAUGUGGAUUAAUUCGAUGCAACGCGAAAACCUUACCUACCCUUGACAUGUCUGGAACCUUGCUGAGAGGCGAGGGUGCCUUCGGGAGCCAGAACACAGGUGCUGCAUGGCUGUCGUCAGCUCGUGUCGUGAGAUGUUGGGUUAAGUCCCGCAACGAGCGCAACCCUUGUCAUUAGUUGCCAUCAUUUAGUUGGGCACUCUAAUGAGACUGCCGGUGACAAACCGGAGGAAGGUGGGGAUGACGUCAAGUCCUCAUGGCCCUUAUGGGUAGGGCUUCACACGUCAUACAAUGGUCGGUACAGAGGGUUGCCAGGCCGCGAGGUGGAGCCAAUCCCUUAAAGCCGAUCGUAGUCCGGAUCGUAGUCUGCAACUCGACUACGUGAAGUCGGAAUCGCUAGUAAUCGCAGGUCAGCAUACUGCGGUGAAUACGUUCCCGGGCCUU